rnacentral:rRNA from 1 species
GACAGAGGGUGCAAACGUUGCUCGGAAUCACUGGGCGUAAAGGGCGUGUAGGCGGGCCAGUAAGUCGGGCGUGAAAUCCCUGGGCUCAACCCAGGAACUGCACUCGAAACUACUAUUCUUGAGUGUCGGAGAGGAAAGCGGAAUUCCUGGUGUAGAGGUGAAAUUCGUAGAUAUCAGGAGGAACACCAGUGGCGAAGGCGGCUUUCUGGACGAUAACUGACGCUGAGACGCGAAAGCGUGGGGAGCAAACAGG